rnacentral:rRNA from 1 species
AUUGCGGUCCUCGGAUACAAUUCCCGGACCACGCCUGGCUGAGGGUC